rnacentral:rRNA from 1 species
GACGAACGCUGGCGGCGUGCUUAACACAUGCAAGUCGAACGGAAAGGCCCUGCUUUUGUGGGGUGCUCGAGUGGCGAACGGGUGAGUAACACGUGAGUAACCUGCCCUUGACUUUGGGAUAACUUCAGGAAACUGGGGCUAUUAUCGGAUAGGAGCUCCUGCUGCAUGGUGGGGGUUGGAAAGUUUCGGCGGUUGGGGAUGUACUCGCGGCUUAUCAGCUUGUUGGUGGGGUAGUGGCUGACCAAGGCUUUGACGGGUAGCCGGCCUGAGAGGGUGAACGGCCACAUUGGGACUGAGAUACGGCCCAGACGCCUACGGGAGGCAGAAGUGGGGAAUAUUGCACAAUGGGCGGAAGCCUGAUGCAGCAACGCCGCGUGCGGGAUGACGGCCUUCGGGUGGUAAACCGCUUUCGCCUGUGACGAAGCGUGAGUGACGGUAAUGGGUAAAGAAGCACCGGCUAACUACGUG